CACACAGUCUCUCUCUCUCUCUCUCGUUUAAAUGUUUGCGCAUAUAUAGACUCUUAUAUAAAUCCAUACAUCUUUGAUAACGAAUGGUGAAGAGAUUGCAGUUAGAGUCAUUUUAUGCUACCUGUGGGAAAAGAAGACUGAGAGACCAAGGGCAGCAUUAAAAAAAUUAACAAUGUGGAAGACCCAGGGACUGUCAACGAAUGCACGGGGCAAAACUGGGUGCAGGGGGAUUUUUGACUUCUAAACCAGCGAAAUAGUAUAAGCAUGGAAUUAAUCUUCUGGCACAGUGAUGGCAACAGACAUUUUUUUUUUUUUUUAAACCAAAUCAAUGCAAAUUUAUAAGAAAUAAUCUCUUCUUCAGGAAAUCUUUAGAGAAAUGGUGUUGUAAACUGACUUCUCUGUACCGUUGUGUGUUGUAUACAGACCUGAAAACGGGAUCCAGGCCCCAAAAUCUUGAAAUACAAUGUAAAAGUCCUA